AUUGAACGCUGGCGGCAUGCUUUACACAUGCAAGUCGAACGGCAGCGCGGGCUUCGGCCUGGCGGCGAGUGGCGAACGGGUGAGUAAUGCAUCGGAACGUGCCCAGUAGUGGGGGAUAGCCCGGCGAAAGCCGGAUUAAUACCGCAUACGACCUGAGGGUGAAAGCGGGGGACCGAAAGGCCUCGCGCUAUUGGAGCGGCCGAUGUCGGAUUAGCUAGUUGGUGGGGAAAAGGCUUACAAAGGCGACGAUCCGUAGCUGGUCUGAGAGGACGACCAGCGACACUGGGACUGAGACACGGCCCAGACUCCUACGGGAGGCAGCAGUGGGGAAUGUUGGACAAUGGGGGCAACACUGAUCCAGCCAUGCCGCGUGCGGGAAGAAGGCCUUCGGGUUGUAAACCGCUUUUGUUCGGGAAGAAAUCCUCUGGGCUAAUACCCCGGGGGGAUGACGGUACCGGAAGAAUAAGCACCGGCUAACUACGUG
rnacentral:rRNA from 1 species